GCGAUAUGUUCAAAAAUCUGUAACUAGAGCUCAAAAUUUAAAAAAAAAAUUGUUAAAAACAGGGGGGUUGGCCUAUUCCAUGGCUUCUAGAGAAAAAUAAUGAGGGGUGUCACGGGGUAUGACUAUAUAGGUCUUGUAGAGGAGAAACAGGCGCAUCUUUUGCGCAAGGUAUUGAAGGGCGGUAUGUUCAAAAAUCUGAAACUAGAGCUCAAAAUUUGAAAAAAAAAUUGUUAAAAACAGGGGGUUGGCCUAUUCCAUGGCUUCUAGAGAAAAAUAAUGAGGGGUGUCACGGGGUAUGACUAUAUAGGUCUUGUAGAGGAGAAACAGGCGCAUCUUUUGCGCAAGGUAUCGAAGGGCGCUAUGUUCAAAAAUCUGAAACUAGAGCUCAAAAUUUGAAAAAAAAAAAUGUUAAAAACAGGGAGAUUGGCCUAUUCCAUGGCUUUUAGAGAAAAAUAAUGAGUGGUGUCACGGGGUAUGACUAUAUAGGUCUUGUAGAGGAGAAACAGGCGCAUCUUUUGCGCAAGGUAUCGAAGGGCGCUAUGUUCAAAAAUCUGAAACUAGAGCUCAAAAUUUGGAAAAAAAAAAUGUUAAAAACAGGGGGUUGGCCUAUUCCAUGGCUUCUAGAGAAAAAUAAUGAGGGUUGUCACGGGGUAUGACUAUAUAGGUCUUGUAGAAGAGAAACAAGCGCAUCUUUUGCGCAAAGUAACGAAGGGCGCUAUGUUAAAAAAUCUGAAACUAGAGCUCAAAAUUUGAAAAAAAAUUUAUUAAAAACAGGGGGUUGGCCUAUUCCAUGGCUUCUAGAGAAAAAUAAUGAGGGUGUCACGGGGUUUGACUAUAUAGGUCUUGUAGAGUAGAAACAGGCGCAUCUUUUGCGCAAGGUAUUGAAGGGCGCUAUGUUAAAAAAUCUGAAACUAGAGCUCAAAAUGUGAAAAAAAAAAUUGUUAAAAACAGGGGGUUGGCCUAUUCCAUGGCUUCUAGAGAAAAAUAAUGAGGGGUGUCACGGGGUAUGACUAUAUAGGUCUUGUAGAGGAGAAACAGGCGCAUCUUUUGCGCAAGGUAUAGAAGGGCGCUAUGUUCAAAAAUCUGAAACUAGAGCUCAAAAUUUGAAAAAAAUUUGUUAAAAACAGGGGGAAUGGCCUAUUCCAUGGCUUCUAGAGAAAAAUAAUGAGGGGUGUCACGGGGUAUGACUAUAUAGGUCUUGUAGAAGAGAAACAAGCGCAUCUUUUGCGCAAGGUAUCGAAGGGCGCUAUGUUCAAAAAUCUGAAACUAGAGCUCAAAAUUUGAAAAAAAUUUGUUAAAAACAGGGGGAAUGGCCUAUUCCAUGGCUUCUAGAGAAAAAAAUUGAGGGGUGUCACGGAGUAUGACUAUAUAGGUCUUGUAGAAGAGAAACAGGCGCAUCUUUUGCGCAAGGUAUCGAAGGGCGCUAUGUUCAAAAAUCUAAAACUAGAGCUCAAAAUUUGAAAAAAAUUGUUAAAACAGGGGGGUUGGCCUAUUCCAUGGCUUCUACAGAAAAAUAAUGAGGGGUGUCACGGGGUAUGACUAUAUAGGUCUUGUAGAGGAGAAACAGGCGCAUCUUUUGCGCAAGGUAUCGAAGGGCGCUAUGUUAAAAAAUCUGAAACUAGAGCUCAAAAUUUGAAAAAUUUUUGUUAAAAACAGGGGGAAUGGCCUAUUCCAUGGCUUCUAGAGAAAAAUAACGAGGGGUGUCACGGGGUAUGACUAUAUAGGUCUUGUAGAGGAGAAACAGGCGCAUCUUUUGCGCAAGGUAUAGAAGGGCGCUAUGUUCAAAAAUCUGAAACUAGAGCUCAAAAUUUGAAAAAAAUU